rnacentral:rRNA from 1 species
AUUGAACGCUGGCGGCAUGCUUUACACAUGCAAGUCGAACGGUAACAGGCCGCAAGGUGCUGACGAGUGGCGAACAGGGGAGUAAUGCAUCGGAACGUGCACAGGCGUGGGGGAUAACGCAGCGAAAUCUGCACUAAUACCGCAUACUAUCUCUGGAUGAAAGCGGGGGACCGAAAGGCCUCGCGCGAUUGGAGCGGCCGAGCUCAGAUUAGGCAGUUGGUGGGGUAAAGGCUCACCAAGCCAACGAUCUGUAGCUGGUCUGAGAGGACGACAAGCCACGCUGGGCAUGCGAGACGACACAGACGCCGACGGGAGGGAGCAGUGGGGAAUGUUGGACAAUGGGCGCAAGCCUGAUCCAGCAAUGCCGCGUGCAGGAAGAAGGCCUUCGGAUUGUAAACUGCUUUUGUACGGAACGAAACGGUCCUGGUUAAUACCUGCGGCUAAUGACGGUACCGUAAGAAUAAGCACCGGCUAACUACGUGCCAGCCGCCGCCGUAAUAC